AACGAACGCUGGCGGCAUGCCUAACACAUGCAAGUCGAACGAGACCUUCGGGUCUUGUGGCGCACGGGUGUGUAACGCGUGGGAACCUGCCCUUAGGUUCGGAAUAACUCUCCGAAAGGGGUGCUAAUACCGGAUAAUGUCUUCGGACCAAAGAUUUAUCGCCUUUGGAUGUGCCCGCGUUGGAUUAGCUAGUUGUUAGGGUAAAAGCCUACCAAGGCGACGAUCCAUAGAUGGUUUGUGAGGAUGAUCAGCCACACUGGGACUGAGACACGGCCCAGACUCCUACGGGAGGCAGCAGUGGGGAAUAGUGGACAAUGGGCGAAAGCCUGAUCCAGCAAUGCCGCGUGAGUGAUGAAGGCCGUAGGGUUGUAAAGCUCUUUUACCCGGGAUGAUAAUGACAGUACCGGGAGAAUAAGCUCCGGCUAACUCCGUG
rnacentral:rRNA from 1 species